UUCUUUGGGACACUUCUCCAGCGCUGCCUUCCCUACCUCUGCCUUUGGGAUGAGUCUCAAACAUCAACAACAUCAAGAUAUGUUCUCAGUCUCGGGUCUGCAGCAGAGUGAUGAGAGGAAGAGAAAAUCCUCCACUCUUCUUGUCUGUUUAUAAUGUUAAUGGACCAUAAAGCAAUGUGGAUGCGUCCCCUCCUAGCAAGCAAUCGCUGGCGCGACCCCUUCCAUCACGCCCGGGCACUCCCGGGGCAAGCGGACCUAGCAGGAGUUUAAGGUGUUCCUUGGAGCCGGAAAAUAUGGUCCAGCGUGGUGGAAGGCAAGGGCAGAGGCUCGAAAACUCAGCCCUAGCUGUCAGCGGACCUCUUGACUGUGCAGUUUGCUUUUCUUACUCUUUGGAGGCUGCGGGUUCCUUGGGUGGUGGCGCUUCAAAGGUGGGAGGAGAAAUCCUGGGACGAGAGCGAUUCAGGUUCCCAGAAGGUUUCACCAAGCGCGGAUGGACUUUAAGACCAGUUUCCUCCCUUGCGCGUUGCGGGUUGAUUUUGCUUGAGGGACUGGCUGAGAAGAAGAUUGAAUGCCAGAGAAGUCGAAGCUGUUGGAGAAAUGAAAGCAGCUAUCUCUUGUGGGGUUCCCGGGACCCAUUCUAAGCUCAGCAGCGCCCAGCCACUUUCUUCCUCUGGAGUAUUUGCCAUUCACCUUACAGGACUUGCGGUCUCUCUACUGGGUCCUUGCCCAUAAGAGCAAGCUGAACCCCCUGAGACACUGCAAGAGCCCUGAAAAAACAGCCUUUCCCAUUUAAGGUCUUCCCCUUUCUUCCAGCGCUAGAUCUGUAAUGAUAGGUCCCCAUGCCAGACCUCUCUUUUCCUCUUCCUAUCCUUAUGUGACUGCCCCCUGAAUGAGUCCCAAGCUAUCUAGACUGAUAGCACUUGUAUUGUAGCUAUGUUGAUAAGAGGGGAAACGGGUGUGGUCCUGUUCAGACUCCUGGGAAUGAGCCCGUUUGUCACAGUGGGGUGAAAAAGCAAACAGAAGCUGUCUUUGCAGGCAACAUUCUGUCACUACUAAGAAAACUAUGCAACUAACAUUUCUUUCUUUCAUUGUUCCAAGAACUGCCUUUCUUAGGGAUCCACCAGGUAGUGAUUAAGAGCUUUUAAGUAUUGUGCUCGUUAAGUAUCUAACCACAUUGAGUGUGUCUAUGGGUGCUGUUGUUUCCCUGGAAAUUAAAAAAGUCGAG
rnacentral:lncRNA from 1 species